UGGGGAAUAUUGCACAAUGGGCGCAAGCCUGAUGCAGCAACGCCGCGUGAACGAUGAAGUUCUUCGGAUCGUAAAGUUCUGUUGCAGGGGAAGAUAAUGACGGUACCCUGUGAGGAAGCCCCGGCUAACUACGUGCCAGCAGCCGCGGUAAUACGUAGGGGGCUAGCGUUAUCCGGAUUUACUGGGCGGAAAGGGUGCGUAGGUGGUCCUUCAAGUCGGUGGUUAAAGGCUACGGCUCAACCGUAGUAAGCCGCCGAAACUGGAGGACUUGAGUGCAGGAGAGGAAAGUGGAAUUCCCAGUGUAGCGGUGAAAUGCGUAGAUAUUGGGAGGAACACCAGUAGCGAAGGCGGCUUUCUGGACUGCAACUGACACUGAGGCACGAAAGCGUGGGUAGCAAACAGG
rnacentral:rRNA from 1 species